GUACUUUGUCCCAACUUUUUUGGAAUCGGGGUUGUAAUAAUUUAAAAAAUGCAGCAAUGACAAGAACCUAUGAACAGCAGUGGAUUGUGACCCUAGAUCUUGGUGGUGCAGGAUGCCUUUAAUUUGAACAUAGCCUCAAACAAAAUUAAGUUGAGAGGCUGUUAUACUUGACUUUACUGUAGGUUCAUAUCUUGUGAAUUUUAGAGCAAUCCCAUAAUAGUCAUUGGAGAGUGAACAUCAUACAGUCAUACAGCAUUACGGCCUAGCAGCUUGUUUCGAGUGGUUUUCGACGUGCAUUUGUUCAACUGUGCUGAAGGUAACAGCAUUAACCAGGGUUUCCAGAUUUUAGCACGAUUUUGAGCUGAAUUUUAAUUCCAAAGCCACACCAAAGACCUGAAAUAACUCCACAACAGCUGGACACUGGAAAAGGUAGACACAUUUUUUCCAUACAUUUUUUGAUAUAGAGGCAUUAUCCACUCCAUAAUCCACCUGUUUCUUCUCCCAGUCUUUAUAAUAUAUCUUACUAAGGAAAUGGUUCUGUACAUCACAACCCCACUGGCUACAUUACACUCUGCAUUUGUUUGCGGUAAUUUAUUAGAUUUAAUUUUAAGCAUCCUUGGUGGCUGUGGAGUAUUGUUAAACUAUCCUAAUUUGGUGUAAAAUCACAAUAGUGACCCUGUUAUUAACUGUCCUGUGCACUCUUCUACUGAAAAUGUUCAUACAGUGAGCAUGUGGGUGUGAUUCCUGUCCCAAUGGGCUUCUAAUUGUGCUUUUAUGCAGUUCCCAUUUUUGAUCACUCGGCACAAUAAUAUCUCUAUGGAGCAGUGAGUGAGCAGCAUUUAGAAAGCAUUGUUCUGCGUAGUGGAGUGAGGAUGCGGUUCAAGGUGGAGAAAGAGCUUUCACAUGCAGCUGAAGACACGCCAAUGACAAGUGCUGUGACAUAUAUUGAAUGCAAUAUGGGGAAGACCUCUUUGUACUGCUGAAUGCAUUUGCAUGCUUCAGAGAGGUGGGGGUGAAUUGGUAGGCCUACUUCCACCCUGAGAGAAAUGCUCCUGCCAGAAUGAGUCACUCCUCAUCUCCUUCAGAGUAGCCAGUGAAGCUGUCACCACCUCCCCAGCAGUGCACAUAUCCACUGCUUGGGCCUGCAGAAUGGCAUUAGCUGGUUUCAGUGCACCAAGGACCUGAAGGGGGAACUUUCCUGUGUUAAAGAAACACUGUCGUUUUAAUUGGGUCGAAAGACCCAAUGCCUUUGUGCUGAUGUCAAAAGGAGCAGUGUCAUCCUCUGCUACAUCUGAGAGAAGCCCUCUGAUUGUGUCCUCAUUGGUGACAAUGGACUUCGUGACCUCACUGGUCCACCGUAUUUCCAGUAGUCGUUUCCAGUGUUGUGCAUGAACACUGAACACGCUCGUUUUUCCAUGAACUUUGAACUGAACGCAACAACUUUGUAAUGAAAGAACUUGAACGUGAAUUCGUUCAAAUUAUGCGACAUGAAUGACAAACAUGAAGAUGAACGAAACAUGAAACCUGAUGAAUCGAGUGGCACGUCUACUUGCAAGAUAUUUUACGUUCUACUACUUCACUGUCAGUCUGAUGUUGUUGUCACUCACUGCCCUGAGGUGCCGCGUGUGUGCAAUGCAUCAUGGAUAACGUAGUGUGAAGCCGGAGAUAGUGGAUGGCUCUAUGAUUUGGCUCCAUACUACGUUACCCAUGAUGCAGCAGAGCAGAGUAGGCGUAACCCAGCGUUCCCUAGCUGCAGACAGCGCGCACACCACAGCCGGCGCACACUCACAGCAACAUGGCCAGUGAAAGUUCAAGUAGCGGCACGGAGAACACAGAUGAGUACAAUGCCAAAUAAUUUUAGAAAUUUGAUUGUUGUGUGCAAAGUGUGCAUACACAGAUGUGUACUGAAGAAUGAGGCUAUCUGAAGUUUUCCUGUUUUGUAUUUUGAGAAAUAAAAAGCCCUUGAGCAUGCA